UACGGAGGGUGCGAGCGUUAAUCGGAAUUACUGGGCGUAAAGCGCACGUAGGCGGUCUGAUCAGCCGGUUGUGAAAGCCCCGGGCUCAACCUGGGAACGGCAUCCGGAACUGUCAGGCUAGAGUGCAGGAGAGGAAGGUAGAAUUCCCGGUGUAGCGGUGAAAUGCGUAGAGAUCGGGAGGAAUACCAGUGGCGAAGGCGGCCUUCUGGACUGACACUGACGCUGAGGUGCGAAAGCGUGGGCAGCAAACAGGAUUAGAUACCCCCGUAGU
rnacentral:rRNA from 1 species